ACUGCAGGCAUGUGCCAUCGCGCUCAGCCCAGCAAUUUUGUUAAGAGAAGCGGUGUCUUGCAUUAUCAAACCUUGAGCAACUAAUGGCCAUGCUAGGUGGUCCAGAGACUGCAGGGGGCCUGCGAGGGGUUGCCAAAGCCCAUCCACAGUGCAGGAGUCUCCGAGGGCUCUAACAGGAGUGCCUGCUGAUUUUUACUUGAACGGAUUUAGAGCCUUUUGUGUGAGGGAGUCCUGCUUCACGUGGGCCACCGUAUAAGUAGCAGCAUCAGUAGCAUAAGUAAAAAUUUGUAAAUGAUGAAUGUAUUGCCAUCAGAACCCAAAGAGAACUAAAAGAUGUUGGACUUGGAUGUCCAACAUGUUUUGCCAUCAGUGUCAUGCCAACAUCUCUUCUCAUCAAUGCCAUGCCAACAUCUUCUUCCCAUCAGUGUCAUGCCAACAUCUCUUCCAAUCAAUGUCAUGCCAACAUCUCUUCCCAUCAAUGUCAUGUCAACAUCUCUUCCCAUCAAUGUCAUGCCAACAUCUUCCCAUCAAUGUCAUGCCAACAUCUUCCCAUCAAUAUCAUGCCAACAUCUUUUGCCACGUCCAACGUCUUUUGCUAUCAGUGUCAUGCCAGGC
rnacentral:lncRNA from 10 species